AGUGAACGCUGGCGGUAGGCCUAACACAUGCAAGUCGAACGGCAGCACAGGAGAGCUUGCUCUCUGGGUGGCGAGUGGCGGACGGGUGAGGAAUACAUCGGAAUCUACCUUUUCGUGGGGGAUAACGUAGGGAAACUUACGCUAAUACCGCAUACGACCUACGGGUGAAAGUGGGGGACCGCAAGGCCUCACGCGAUUAGAUGGGCCGAUGUCCGAUUAGCUAGUUGGCGGGGUAAUGGCCCACCAAGGCGACGAUCGGCAGCUGGUCUGAGAGGAUGAUCAGCCACACUGGAACUGAGACACGGUCCAGACUCCUACGGGAGGCAGCAGUGGGGAAUAUUGGACAAUGGGCGCAAGCCUGAUCCAGCCAUACCGCGUGGGUGAAGAAGGCCUUCGGGUUGUAAAGCCCUUUUGUUGGGAAAGAAAUCCUGUCGAUUAAUACUCGGUGGGGAUGACGGUACCCAAAGAAUAAGCACCGGCUAACUUCGUGCCAGCCGCCGCCGUAAAAC
rnacentral:rRNA from 1 species